AUGCAGCAGUUGAUAGUCUCCGUCGGUCAAUUUUCGUCCCACCACUUUGGUUUGGUUUUUUUCGUGCCGCUGCUGCCUACCCCGCCUCCUACCGGUGCGCCACCACUCCCGCCUCCUUCCGGCGCGCCGUCAUCCCCGCCACCUACCAGCGCGCCGUCAUCCCCGUCUCCUACCGGCGCGCCGCCGGACCCUCCUUCUUCCCUGGAGCGCCGCCACCCCGCUGCCCCCGCCGUCUUCCCGAGCGCGCCGCUGCCGCCGUCUUCCCCAGAGCGCCACCGCCCCGCCACCCCCGCCCACGGGACCAGUGGUCCCAUCGCCGGUCUCCCCCCACCCAGAUCUGCCGGAGGCGCACCGAAUCCUGCCUCACGGCCGGUUCCCGCGACUCGGCCGCCGCCCCAACCGCUGCAGCAGCCGAGCACCUCCACUAGGUGCCCCGGCGGUUCAGACCCCCACCUGGCCCCUCCCUCGAACCCAGCGAGCCUCCGCCCCGGCCUACUUCCCGCGCGAGGUCGCCUCGCCUCCUCCUGGCGCACCGCCGCCCCCACCAUCUGGAUCGAUGUCCCACUUGAGUUAGACGUGAACGAUAUGUUGAAGAGAAAGGGGGCACAGGCUAUUUCAGACCCUGAUUCGUUUUCUCAGGCAAUGGCAAAGCUCCGUCAGCGUUAUGAUGAUCUGAAAGAGCGGUAUGCAGUUUCUGAUGUUACUGUUUCAGUACAGAACGUGGCUUCUCAGCUAGGCUACAGUAGCAUUGACUCUUUGAGCCUGGAGGACAUGGUCAUUGAGGUUUGCAAUAUAAGCAUACUAUAG
rnacentral:rRNA from 1 species